ACUUGGCAAAAAAUUAAAGUAAAAGUCAAUUUAGUAACCUUAGUGGAUGACAUAAAAAUUGAAGAUAUCUUUUGAGUGAACUUUGAUGGCACUGAAGGCCAAGAAUUAGAAGACAUAAUUAAAAAAAAUUGAUUUUAAUCUCCUUCUAUAAUUUAAAUAAACUUCUAGUGGUCUUAUGGGUGGAAAUAAUAUGACCAUCUAUCCACAAAUAUAAAAAAAUUGAUAUAUAAAAUCCAUAGAAAAAUCUCAUAUGCACAACCUUAAUCCCAAAUUGAUAGAUGUUACUUUGAAAAAUAAGGAUUCAAAUUUUAUUAAGGUGGGAUUCCAAUUAAUCAAGGCUAUAUAAAGAAGAAAGAAAAUUAUCUUUGAUAAACAAUACAAGGUUAGAACCUUGAAGUCUAGCAUGUUGGUCCUUUUAUAAGAUGCUAAGAGAUUAGACUUCUCAAGAAAAUUUGAUGCGAUAUGCUUAGGCCACUACUUAAUUAAAGAAGUCUUUUCAAACAAUUUAGUUUGGUUUCAAACAUUCAAUGGAAAAGUUUUUCCUACUAAGACAUUUGAAAAUAGAUGUAAAGAAUAUAAAGUGUGAUUUUUAUCAUACUUGUGGUCAAAUGGCUCAUCUUUAUAGUGACUUUAAUUUUACUCUUUAAGAAGAAAAUUAUCAAAAUUGAAGAGAAUUUAGAGAACUAAAACUCUACGAUUCAAGACUAGUAUUGAUCUAUUCAUUCAACUUGACUUUUAUUUAAUUUAAUUCUAUAAAAAUAUUAAU
rnacentral:lncRNA from 1 species